rnacentral:lncRNA from 1 species
GUGCCAACUGCUAAGUGACUUGCCGCUGGUCCCACAAGUGUGCUGAUGCCCUCAUGGUCCUCAACAUGGCCUCUCCUUGUAGCCUGCAUACAACAGUCUCCUGGCUUUUCUUUCUUGGCUAGUUACAGAUGGCCGCUGCAGCCUCGGUAGAAGAGGAGAUCUGAGCCUGAAACUCCUUUAAGAAAGCUGCUACUUACCAGUACCACCUGUGACUGGCUGUCACCACUCCUACAGUCUCUGCCAGCACUCUCUGCCAGCCACUCUCCUGCGGUCGUUCCUAUCUUCGAGGAAGAGUGGAGAAUAAAACAUUCUAAUCAAAUAUAGUAUGUGCCUUAAGGCUUUGUACUCCAGCCCUGUUUUCUUUCUGCUCUCUGCUUCUUACUUGUACAUUGUAAUGUGACAAAACUUUUCCUGGGGAGACACAACAUUAACAUCUAAUCACCCAAGAUCAAAGUACCAUUAAAUUCCAGCUUGGUGAACCAAUGAGCUUAUUGGGGUUACUUACAGGGAUAUGGGUGAAGGGUUACUUAUGGGAGCAGAAAUGACUCAAAGACAGCUGCAUCACCAAAGCCCACUUCAGCAUGGGUGACAGCUCACAAACCUGGGAACCUGGAGCACACUGCACAGCCUGCAGGCAGCUCAACAAGCUGGAGAGUGUCCUUUCCAGGUAUCUCGGUUGGUUUGGUUUGAGGCUCCUUUGCAGCUUGCCUUGUCUGAAAGUUUUCUUGGCAGCUCUAUUUGUCUGAGAGAGACUCUCAGCUUUUAUUGGUUACUAUAGCAGGGAGGGGCCUAGUGAAUCUGGUUGGUUUCAGGGACUUCCUGAAGCUGAGUUGAGCUGUUUCCGUUCCUGCUUAAGGAGCUUCCUGAAGAUUGGCAUGUUUUAAUCUUGGAGGAAAUGUU